UACGAAGGGAGCUAGCGUUGCUCGGAAUCACUGGGCGUAAAGCGCACGUAGGCGGAUUGCUAAGUCAGGGGUGAAAUCCUGGAGCUCAACUCCAGAACUGCCUUUGAUACUGGCGACCUUGAGUCCGGGAGAGGUGAGUGGAACUGCGAGUGUAGAGGUGAAAUGCGCAGAUAUCAGGAAGAACACCCGUGGCGAAGGCGGCUCUCUGGGACGGUACUGACGCUGAGACGCGAAAGCGUGGGGAGCAAACAGG
rnacentral:rRNA from 1 species